CCAUCCCCAAUUAGCGUGUCCCAACCUUCCCAAAUUGCGGUCUCAGCUCUGCUCCGCCCUCGCCCACCCGCCCGUUUCACAUGCCCCCAAAUCCACCGUGGCCGCGCCACCGUAGCAGCAGCACCACCCCGUCAUCGACGGCAGGAGGAACAGCAGCAACGAGGAGGCGUUUCAGGAGGUGGACCCGACCGGGCGGUUCGGGCGGUACGCGGCCAUGCCGGGAUGGGCUCCGUCAAGAAGGUUCGACCAGGAGGAGUGCAUCGAGGUGGCGUGGAACCGGGUGCGCCUGCGCGCGCUGGACCCCGCCAUGGUCGACCGCCGCCAUGCCGAGGUGCGCCUUCUCCGCUCCCUCCAUCGUGACCACAUCAUAGGCUUCCACGAGGUCUGGCUCGACCACGACGCUGGCGUGCUGAACUUCAUCACCGAGGUCUGCAACUCGGCGAGCCUUCGCGAGUAUUUCGACCGCCACAAGCACGUCUCCGUCAAAGCGCUCAAGAAGUGGGCGCUCCUUGAGGGCCUUGACCACCUCCACACCCGCGACCCCUGCAUCAUCCACCGCGACCGUACUUGCAGCAACGUCUUCAGCAACGGCAACACCGGCCAUCCUCAACGGCGACGAGGACAACAGUAGGAUCUAACGUACGGUUCUUGGUCCACCCUUUUCAUCGUACUGGAUUAGGAAUGCUUGCUUGUACCUGGUGCUGAUGGUUGGGGUUCUGCAGACUUGGCAGAGAUUGUGAAUUUUCUCGGUAUCAUGCAAAGCGAUUCAGUUGAGAGGAAUGCAACUCUUUGUUCUUUGAGGCUUACUUUUCUUUAGUGUUAGAUUUUGUUACAUAUCUGCUGUGUGACGAGAAUUGCAAACUCAGAUUCAGCGGGCGCCAUCUUUUGUGGUGUUGCAUGCCAGAGGCAGGCAGUUGGAGCUUCUCCGUCUAAUUGUUAACUUGGUGGAAGCUAGCUGCUAUACCGACAACCUAGAGUGGAGGUUGGUUUAACACUUCACUCUUUGUAGUAUAAUUUCUCUAUGCUGAUUAUACAAAACCAUUAGUCAGAUUCUCAUAAUCGGUAGCUAUUUUCUGUUAAACAUUUUCCAGCAUUGUUAGCAGAAAAGGUUUUUGAUGCAAAAUGUACUUCAUUGUACAGAAAGUAUUAGAUGAUGUUUUAACCUCAGUGUUGGAGCAUCUGACACAUACAUUACCUGACAAAUUGCUCCCUCACAGUGUCGUUGAUGAGCAGUUAGAAAGGAUGUACAACUUGUAGAUUCCAUUGCCAUACAUUACCUGACAAAUUGCUCCCUCGCAGUGUCGUUGAUGAGCAGUUAGAAAGGAUGUACAACUUGUAGAUUCCAUUGCAGAGAAACAUGCUUAGAUUUUUUCAGAAGAGUGCAAGUCUUUUCCUGCUGCUGUCCAAAUACAACCAAUUUACCCCCUCCAAAUCAGGAGCUUGGAUGAUGUCAGGUUGAAUCUCGAGGUUCUCAAGUACUUGUGAUGGUAUUCUCUUAUAUAUCUAACUAAGAAGAUGUAGAUAAUAAAAAAAUUAUUUGUUUUGUAUAACUUUACUGCGCAUAUGUGUAUGAGUGUAUGUUCAGAUUGUUCAACACCCCCUUUAUUUUUCUAGAAUCCCGUGCCAUUUUGUAUUUGUACAGCUUGCAUUGAGGGAGUGCAGCAAAUCCAGGACUCACCAUGAUGAUGUGCAUUCUAAGAAAAAUAUAAUCAAAUUCCUAUCACUUAAGAUACCUUUACUAGCGGAACAAUGGAAUUGUGUGUACAAAAUCUUUCUUUUAUAGCAAUUAUGCUGAUAAAAUAUUCGUCCUUCAUGUUUUGCAGAAUAGUUCAGUGAAAUGUACAAAGGGAUAACCUUGGAUGCAGUACUGGAGCAUAGGCGGGACACUACUGGUCCUUGCCCCCACCUCCCUUCCUAGAGGAAAUUUUACCAAAUAUGCUUAUAUUUCUGCUAAUCGUUCUACUAACCCUCUGGCGUCUCUGAUCACCCUAGCCUUUUUUAUGUCAUACACUCAUUUUGGCCCCUCCUAAUAUCUGGUUCAUGCUCCCCCACAGCUUAGAUUGUGAAGACUUGCUUAGUCCAUCCUUUUGCUUUGCUUACUAAUGAUGCCCCAAGAUGCAAAAUACUAAUUAUUUUGCUUUAUGUGUGUGCUACAUUUUAGAUGCAAUUGCUGAUCAACAUCUUUGGCUUCACGGUUAUUCAUGGAAACUGGAUGUGGCAAUGAAACAAAAGGAGUUGCACUGGUUGGGAGGCAUGGAGAGUUCAAGUACUAUCUGGGAUACUACUUACAUUGCUAAUAAGUUAACGUCUGGUCCUAAUACUAGGAUUUCCAGCUAUCUUAGUUUCAAGCCCUGUAUGCUGAUUUGAUUGAAGGUGGAAAUGGGACUCCUUUUGGUGCUUAAGUAGUAACUCAAUGAUAGCGGGAACUGGUUGAAUUAUCAAUAUACAUUUGGGCAUAGAGCAUGAGGAUGUAUGAAACUUCUGAACACUUUCAGGUUGUCGGACAAACUGCAACUAUGAACAGUAUGCCUCAUUUGACUCUUGUGGGGGUAGAGCGAUAAAAUAAACAUGUCAUCACUAGGCGAGUUCAAACACUGGAUGGCAAGGCGAUCAUCUAUUUGAAUACACUUAUUCGUUUCAAGGAGGUAGAAGGCGGUGCAGAAGCUGCAGUUUUGACCCCACUUGUGCUAGCCAAUUUUUUUUCUUUGAGAUUUGUGCCAGCCAAUUUGGGUAUGAGUGAUGCUCACGGAGGCCAUUCUACGUAGCUGAUGGACUGUCAUGUCUAUAUAAUUCUUAUAUAGCUGACAAUUCAAUCAUGAAACGCUAGGGCUCCAUGGAAGGAAAAGGAAAAUGCGUCUGCAAAAUCAGUAGAUUUUGUGAUGGAAGGAUUGGUAGAUUUGAUAUUAUCUUACAACCUAUAAGAACACCGAAUGUGUGAAACAACAUUCGUUAUUGUCCAGCAACGCGACCAUAAAUCCACAAUGA